GGGAAUUUUCCGCAAUGGGCGAAAGCCUGACGGAGCAACGCCGCGUGAGGGAAGACGGCUCGUGGGUUGUAAACCUCUUUUCUCAGGGAAGAAGCUCUGACGGUACCUGAGGAAUCAGCAUCGGCUAACUCCGUGCCAGCAGCCGCGGUAAUACGGAGGAUGCAAGCGUUAUCCGGAAUUAUUGGGCGUAAAGCGUCCGUAGGCGGUUUUACAAGUCUGCUGUUAAAGCGUGCAGCUUAACUGCAUAUCGGCAGUGGAAACUGUAAGACUAGAGUGUAGUAGGGGUAGAGGGAAUUCCCAGUGUAGCGGUGAAAUGAGUAGAUAUAGGGAAGACCAGCCGUCAUGGGAAUGCUCCGCAAGUGGGACUAGAUANACCAGUAGUCAUAGCAGUGCCC
rnacentral:rRNA from 1 species